AUUGAACGCUGGCGGCAGGCCUAACACAUGCAAGUCGAGAGAGCGGCGGACGGGUGUGUAAUGUAUGGGGAUCUGCCCGAUAGAGGGGGAUAACUACUGGAAACGGUCGCUAAUAACGCAUACUAUCGGAUGAACCCAUAUGGGAUUAGCUAGUAGGUGGGGUAACGGCUCACCUAGGCGACGAUCUCUAGCUGGUCGUAAAGGAGGAACAGCCAGAAUUGAAAGGAGUCACGUCCCAGGCUCCGACGGGAGGCAGCAGUGGGAAAUAUUGCACAAGGGGAGCAAGCAUGAUGCGGCCAUGCCGCGUGUAUGAAGAAGGCCUUAGGGUUGUAAAGUAUGUUCAGCGGGGAGGCGUUACCCGCAGAAGAAGCACCGGCUAACUCCGUGCCAGCAGCCGCGGUAAUAC
rnacentral:rRNA from 1 species